AUGUACCGACAUACACUCCAGUUCCUCCGCGCCGUCCGCACCCAUCUGACGACUGCUCGCUACGUUUUGUUAGCC
rnacentral:sRNA from 1 species